rnacentral:lncRNA from 1 species
ACCAGGUGGUGACAUGUAUAGCAAGAACAAUUAGUUAAAACACUCGAAAUAUGUGUAUUCUUCAAACAUCAAUUUCCAGGUUGGUCAAAACAUGUCAAUUAGAGUCAACUUAAUAGAUAUUCAUCCCUGUAUCUUUUGAUUUAAGACUAUAAUUGUCAAAUUAAUAGAAACCUUGACCCUGUUUAUAUUCUGUAUAUAUACUUAUGUAUUGACUGUAUAGAGGAG